rnacentral:lncRNA from 1 species
UGGCCAAUCAUUCCACAUACUAAAGUGUACAUAUGCCAAUCCCAAAUUCCCAAUCCAUCUCUCCCCCCAUCACCUGUCCACUUUAGCCACAGGUUUGUUUUCAAAGUCUCUGAGUCUGUUUCUGCUCUGAAAGUAAGUUCAUUUAAAUACUUUUUUUAGAUUCCACAUACAAGUGAUAUCAUAAGCUAUUUGUUUCUCACUAUCUAAAUAACUCCACUUAGUAUGAUAAUCUCUAGGUCUCUUCAUGUUGCAGCAAAUGGCAUUAUUUUGUUCUUUUUUGUGACUAAUGUUCCAUUGUAUACAUGCAUCACAUUUUCUUUAUCCAUCCCUCUGUCAAGGGACAUUUAGGUUGUUUCCACGAUGAUAUUUUUAGGAGUGUUGCAAACAUCGUAUUUUCUUAUGGAAUAGAAUUUUCUUCACUUGCUGGUUUCAUCUGAUUAGUUACUUUGAUGAUGACAUAAUUAAUUCAUUGUAAUUGAUCAUUUCAAUUUGAUCUUUUCCUUCACUCUUCCACCUGAAUCAAAGGAUACAUCUCAGUAAAUGGUGACUCUAUAUUUUGGAUAGUUCCAGUCAAAAAACUUUGGCGUUAACCUUAAUUCCUUUUUCCUCUCACAUCCCAAAUCACUCCAGGUGAAUCUUCAAAAUCUCUAUUUCUCUCUCAAAAUAUUUCUCAAUUCCUGUUCACCUCUUCUGCUCCUACCACCAUUCUGAGUCAAGGUACCAUCAUUUUUGCCCUGAUUAUUGAAAUAGCUUAUUAAUUGUUCUCCUUGUUUCUUCUCUCACCCACCUAUAACCUAUUCUUUUUGUUUGUUUGAUUUUCUUUCUUUCUGUCUGUCUGUCUUUUUAGGGCCACACGCACGGCAAAUAGAAGUUCCUGGGCUAUGGGUCUAAUCCAAGGCCUACAUCACAGCCAGAGCAACACCAGAUCUGAGCCACAUCUGCAACCUACACCACAGCUCAUGGCAACGCUGGGUUCUUAAGCCAAGAGCAUGGCCAGAGAUCGAACCUAUAUCCUCAUGGAUACUAGUCAGAUUUGCUACCUCUCAGCCACAACAGGAACUCCCUGUAACCUAUUAUUAACGUUGUAGAUGGCUUGAUCCUUUUAAACAGCAGUAAUAUCCUGUCAUUCCUUUGUUCUGACCCCUCUGAUGGUUUCCCAUCUCAUCUAAACACCCAAAGUCCUUAUGAUGUUCUAUAUACUAUGUAGAAUUCUUCAGUUCUUUCAGUUCUUUAGAAAGGCCUUCAAAGCCACUCUUUACAAAACGGCAUCUCACCAUGGUCUCUCCCCAUCACUCUUUAACUUCAUUUUUUUUUAUAGCACUUAUUGUCACCUUACAUAUUAUUAUCCCGACUAAAAACUAAGCACCAUGAAGGCAGGGUUUUCAUCUCUGUAGCUCACUGUGUUAAAACACAGAUUUAUGGAGAUAAAAUAAUUUGCAAGUUAUAUAAUUCACCCAUUUAAAGUACACAAUUCAACAGCUUUUAGUGGUAUUCAUAGACUGGUGCAACCAAAACUACAAAUUUAGAACACUGUCAUUGCCCCCAAAAGAGGUCCCAUCCAUCCCAGCCAUCGCUCCCUAUUCUUCUUAUUUCCUCCAGCCUCAGGCAACUAAUCUACUUCCUGUCUCUAUAGAUUUGCCUAUUCAGAACAUUUCCUGUAAAUGGAAUCAUAUAUGAUCCUUAUGACUAGCUUUUUGACUUAACAUAGUGUUUUCAAGUUUAAUCUAUGUUAACAGUAUGUAUCAGUCCUUCAUUCUUUGUGUGUGUGCCAAAAAAUAUUCCACUGUAAGAAUAAAGUACACUCUGUUUAUUCAUCAGUUGAUGAACAUUUGGGUUCUUUCCACUUUUUUUUUUUUUUUUUUGCUAUUAUAAAUAGUGCUGCUGUGAACAUUUGUAUGCCAGUUUUUGUGUGGACAUUGUUUUCAAUUCUUAUAGGUAUAUUCCUAGGAGUAGAAUUGCUGGAUCAUAUGGUAACUCUAUACUUAACCAGUUGAGAAACUGCUAGACCGUCUUCCAAAGCAGCAAAUAAUAGUAUCUAUUUCAUAAAGUUGUUCAUUUACUCUGUUUAUAAAAUGCCUAGAAUGGUGCCUGAUGCUAUAUUUUUUUGCAUGAAAUAAAAUAAAUAAAAUUCAAUAAACAUGAAGUAAAUGCAACUCAUGCCAUUACAAAAUACCCAUUUUUAUCUAGCUUGCUUUACCUUUUGCGUUAUUUCCCCUCAGUCUCAUGCAGUUAGCAAUUAAUAUUCAUGGUUUUACCACUCCCACCCAGAGAAGUCUAAUUAGAUCAGUCCUGAAAAAGUGCCAGAUGAACGGACAAGGACUUAUUCGGCUAAAUACUCACUAUGUGCAGGAAAAAUAUGUAAACAACCCAGAUUUAAGUGUGUUUCAGCUUGGUGCCAUCUACUUUCAAAAUAAGAACUCUUUGCUUUUGUUUCAAUUUAUAGACUCAGUGGUGAAUCAGCUCAUUUAAUGAGCUAUAGCUGAGAGCAAGUACUCGGAGAACAUCAAGUGCUAAAAGUUCGGAGGAUUUGAUUUUUUUCAGUCCAGUGACCAAAAGCAUUUGAUCUUUUAUUGACUGAAUAUGGGUGCUGUAAAAAGAAAUGAAAUGUCCUAAGUAUUCAGGGUUGAAUAACUAUGAAUGCUUUCUAUUUCCACUGUUCAAAUACCCUAAACUUUAUGCUGUGUAUAGUAAUGUAUUAGUGUGUUCAGGCUUUAUAAAGAAAACAUACUUCUUUUACUGACAGUACGAAAAUGGCCUCUUUAAAAUAUAGAUUUUUAUAGAAUUUUUUUAUAGGAAUAAAAUUCUCUCAAUGUUGUAGUUCUUUGUGUUAACGAUUAUUUUUCCAGAUGAGACUUCUGUUUUACCCAGGUAAAAUAAGUAAAAGUGAAAGUAACACAGAGGGAUGUUUCUUAUUUGAAAGAGUGGAGAAUGCGGUUUUCUUCCUAAUUGUGAUUUCCUCUGAUAAACGUGCUGUAACUAGAUACUGGAGGCUAAGCAAAGUGCACUCAGGAACCACAGGGCUCUGCCUGGCAAAUCCUCCCAGGAGGCACUGGAGACAGUCCCACUGGGCUAGAAUAACAGUUCCAUUAUUCAGCAUGGCAAGUCUAUCACCCUGCUUAUUAGCAUAGUUUGGAGGUUAAACAAUGGUAUCUCCUCUUACUUAUUCAUUAUCAAAUUACCUUACAAUUUUGAGUUAAGACGACUCGCCCUCAAUCAAGGGCCCCAGUUAUAGAAACAGGACUUUCUGAGAAGCCUUCAUUAAAGAAAACACUCCAAGAGGAAAGUUCUCCGGGUUGGAACACAGGAAACGUGUUCCUUUGCACUCAAGGAAAAUAAUUCCAGUGUAAAUUUCAAAUAUCUCAAAAUUACUACAUGGGACAUAUAAGUUACUUUAAUUAAAAAAAAUAAUAAUAAUAUUGCCAGAAUCAGGUUCAGCUGCUCACUGCUCAAAAGCCACUAUUUUGAGAGGCAAGUGUCAACAGAAAGGAAAGGUGCUUGAGUCAGAAAAGCUGACAAUCUGGGGAGAAGGUGGACUUGUGUCCAGAGACCACCUCUGAAGAUUCUGCUCAGCCAGGACAGUUUUUAAAGGGAAAAGAGGGAAAGAAUUUCAGUGAAUCACUGAGGUAGGAGGUUGUGUUCUGCAUCAUUCACCAUUGUCUGCAGACUGGCUGACUCUCUUUAGAUGUUAUGUGGCCCAAGAGAUCUGCCUGCAGGAUUGCUAAGGAGGCUGGUAGUGGUAGGGAACUAGUCAUUCUUUAGCUACAAUUCUUCAUUCUUUUCUUUUUUUAAUCUAGGGAAAUAAUCAGCAGAUUAAUUAGGUUCUUUCAAAGUUGGGGGGAACAGAAAUGGGCAAACAGGAAAGGGGUAAACGAGCUGCUUUUAAUGAUACUCAGAAUAGUAUCAUUUAAAUAUUAAUGUAAUUAAUGCCACGUCACAGUUAUUGAAAAUCACUGACACUUGUAAAUAACAAAUGGAAAAAUACAUGUUACAACCAAUGCCAGUGAGUAAAACACAACAGUUUGCACAUGGCAGUUUAGAAAUACAUAAGGAAACCAAGGUGUGUUUGUUAGUUUUUAGUGCACAAGGCUGAAUUGGUCUCUUUUCUGUUUAUACUGGGAACCAAUAGUUAUUAUUUAAUUUUUUUAAAAAGUCUUUGUGAGUGAUUCAGAGGAGGAAGGAUAAUCUGUGGGAUAGGUUUGUAAUUUGGAACAGGGAAUUCACUUUUCAUUUUCAGUCGCUGAAAAACUUAACAGCUUGGUUAACCUUUUACUAGGAAAAUGUCCACUGCUUAGGUAACUUGUAAACAUGCUUAUAUAUUUCCCAUCAAGGAAGGUACAUCUGCCAGCUCAAUUUACACGUUAAGUCUGGGAAGUGGAAACUAUUAGUCCUGGAUAUGGGUCAACCAGAAGGUCUUUGGUGUCCAGCCCUCCUUCCUUUGCCCCUAGACAUGGUUUUCUUAGGGGAAGUGGUGGUUAGGGGUGGGUACAUGAGAGAACACUCUGGUUUCCAGCACACCCAGACAGCGAGCUGUGACAGCAGUCUUUAAAAAUGAAGUAAGCACCCAGGCAAGCCCAGAUUCUGAACAAAUUCUGUUUGAAAGGCAAGCAGCUGUGUAAUCAUUUAUCUAGUCUUAGUAGGAAAUGCUUAUUUUACAUCAUUUUUUCAAAGCAAAUCCUAAGUUCUAGUGGUAAUGGGACACCUUGCCCAUCCUCAAAGUGGAAUGGGGAAAGGAAAAUUUAAUAUAGGCGUCUGCUUUCCCAUUCCCACUCCUACUAACAGUAUGCUAAAAUUUGGAAAAAGCUGAAGUCACCUUUUUUGGGUAUUUUCAUUUUCCGGUUGGCUGUCAAUGCUCAACUGAAUUACAAUAAGUUCCAUAAAGUUAAGGGAGGGAAGAAUUGUGUUAACUGCAGAAUAAACCCACCAACCAUUACAGCUGCCAGUUGUUUACAGUGAAAAGGACCCUCAAUUUUUUAAUAGACCCUUGAUUUUUACAGCCUUCUAACCAACCACCUUCUCCAAUUACAAACGUUAAGGUAAUUUCAAAAUCAGAUGGUUUAGAGUCAGUCUGUGAGUUUAAGAAGAGAAUAAUUUCUUCAUAGGCUUAUUUUGCAUUUCAAGUCUUCCAGGAAGGAAGCUCUGGUGCAUUUGAAAAUAUCUCAGGAGCUAAGCAAAAGUAUGCAACACAUCUCAUAUUUAUCUUCAGCAUAUCUACCAUUUAUUUAGAAGCUGAGCACAAACAGAAUAUGUCCCUUCCUGGGCAGCUCUUGCAUCACACUAGGAAUACAUUAGUGUGCUUCUGUUUCACAGGCAGGCUUAGUGGAGGGACAAAUUUGAUCCAGUUAUACUUUUAUAACCUCCUGUUUACAGUUGAACACUAUGCUUUUUUAGUGCUGGCUAGGAAAUUAGACUGGAUGAAUCCGGGACCACAGCUUCACAACAUGCAUAAUCCUGGCACUGCAACUGAGGAAAAUCAAUGAGGGGAAGCAUUGAUCUCCUUGCAGAGUGUAAAUGCAGUGAGCUCAGAAACACUCUGCCUGGGAUUUUGUUAUUCAAGUCAUUCCAUUGCACUUUGUUUUCAAACCCAGCUCUUAUCACGCAGCAGCUCUCUGGAUUCAGCUGAGCUCCAGUUACACAUGCAUAAAACCCACGUCUUCGAAAAGGAAAAGGAAUUCUGUGUAUCCACAGUUCAGCUUCUAUGUUUGCUCAAGGCUAAACGAAAUAGCCUUCACUUCAGUGACAUUUCACUAUGUCACUAUGUCACUGGGUGGAGAAAACUCCGGCAGGAAGGUGAGAGUAUGAAUCACUUUGGGAAAAUAUUAUCUCCAGCUAUGAUGAAUUUGAUGUGUGUCUGAGCUGCCUGGCCAAUUUGUUUUCCUUUUUUUUAUUAAAGAAGUCAAUGUGACCAAGAAAUUACCUGGAGGCCCCACUACAGACACGCAUUGUGUGUGCAGAUAUACACAAAAAGGAAAUGUGUUAUAUAGCCACAUGCAGUAUGGAUAAAAACAUAUAUUGCCAUAUUUCAUACUUGUUAGUGAAAAUAUUUUUACAACAUAGUGCCUCCCAAGUGUGGAAAAUAAAUCAAGCCUUUUAAAAGUGAUUGUAGGUGAUUCAUUUAGUGCUGUCAUAAUAUAGUGCUUUCUUUAAUGAAAAUUUAUAUUGUUUUUCCUGGACUUGGUGGAAGAAAUUUAUACUGAAAGAUGGAAAGGACCAAUGUAUUCAGUGCUAAACACAUCCAAUUCUUGACAAUAAGCAGGAGCUUGACCAAGUGAGGUAUAGACAGACAUCACUUAAAUGCACUUUUUCUGACCUAUGAUUUUUCACAUCAAAAUCAUCAUCUAAAUAUAGUAGAAACAGGUGGCUUUUGGCAAUGAAACACAGCACUUUCAGAUCAACCUUGUGCUGUUAUCACAGUAAACUACCAACAGAGUGAUUCAGAUUCAGACACUGGAUUUGUGUUUAAAAGCAAUUUGCAAUUGUGAACAUCUGCAGUAAGAAAGAAAGCAGCUCUAGCUUUUAAAAAUGCAGACAGACUCCACACAAAAUUUACAAGAACUGAUAAAUGAAUUCAGCAAGGUAGCAGUAUACAACAUUAACAUAGUGAAAUUGGUUGCAUUUCUAUGCACUAACAAUGAAAUAUCAGAAAGUGAAGGUAAAAAAAAAAAAGCCUGUUAAAAUUUCACAAUCUAAAUAAAAUACUUUGGAAUAAACCUGACCAAGGAGGGGAAAGACUUAUAUGCUGAGAACUAUGAAACAUUAAUAAAGGAAAUUGAAAUGAUUUAAAUAAAUGGAAAGAUAUUCAAUGCUCUUGGCUUGGGAGAAUUAAUAUUACUAAAAUGGCCAAACUGCCCAAAGCAAUCUACAGAUUUAAUGUGAUCCUAUUAAAUUACCUAUCAUAUUUUUCACAGAACUAGAACAAAAAUAAUCCUAAAAUUUACAUGGAACUGUAAAAGACUCAAAAGUGCCAAAGCAAC